rnacentral:lncRNA from 1 species
CGGCCGCGAGCUCCUCCCUCUCCUCACUAGACCACGCCCCUCCCGGCCUUUCUCGCGAGAGGAUGUCCACCGGCAACAGAAGCCGGCGUGCGUCACGAUUGCCCUCACCCUAGGAGAGUAGAUUAAGGCCGCUCUAGCCCACUCCUUAAUUGUCUAUGGAUAAAAGAGUAAUGACGGAAGCCGCUGAAAUUGUCUCGCUCACGCCUCUCGAUUCAAAGGAAAAAAAAAACCGGGCGUGAUGACUCAUGCUUGUAAUUCCAGCAUUCGGGAGGCUGGACGAUGGCAGGAUCCAAAACAGCCUAGGUUACAUAGCGAGACACCGACUCGAAAAUAAUAAGUAAAUAAAAGAAACUCCGACAGGCGUGCGGCGUCAUCUUUAGUUCGGGCGAGGAAAGCCCAGAAAGCUUAUUUUAACUACACCCUUCUUAGUCAAAGUGAGGGACAGGACAGAAGCGCGGCUUCAGUUUCCCCUCUCCAAAAUGUCCUCUAGGACCGGAAGGAGGUGAGAGUCUGACCACGCCUCUUCCGCUCUGUGAGGCCAGCCAAUUAGAGCAGGCCGUUAAGCUUGCGCAAUGCCUCGUCCGCCCAGCGCUUGCAGCCCUAGCUCGGCGACCUCUUUAGCACCUGUUGCCAUGACUCCUCCUCUGUCUCCCACUCCCGCUCGCAGGGGGCGGGCUGGGGCGGGCUUUUGCUGAGCCUCCACCCCCUCAGCCUUCUCCGGACUCGGCCUCAAAGUGCUUCACCUCUGGCUGGCAGAGCCAGGGAAGGGCGCCCUAGGGCGGAGACGGACACCUAGCGCUGUAGAGGGAAAGUGACGAGCCGCCCUUCAUUGUCAGCCAGGAACGCGGACACAGCGGCGCUCCCACCCAGCUGCAGUGGAUCCUUAGGCCGCCGAGAUGGCAGCUGCCGGCGCCCGAGGCCUGCGGGCCACCUACCACCGACUCAUGGAUAAAGUGGAGUUGUUGCUGCCAAAGAAAUUGAGGCCGCUAUACAACCACCCGGCAGGCCCCAGAACAGUUUUUUUCUGGGCUCCGAUAAUGAAGUGGGGAUUGGUAUGUGCUGGAUUAGCUGACAUGGCCAGACCUGCAGAGAAACUCAGCACAGCUCAAUCCACUGUGCUGAUGGCUACAGGGUUUAUUUGGUCAAGGUAUUCACUUGUAAUUAUUCUCUCUCUCUCUCUCUCUCUCUCUCUCUCUCCCUCCCUCCCAC